AGAAGAGGCACAUGAGGGGUUGUUCCUUAAUAAACGUCAUCACAAAGGCAAUAACAAUCCUUAGUGGAAGAAGAGGAAAUCAGAGGCCAGCCCCUGGACAGACAGAUGAUAGAAUGACUACUCCUAAUAAUGACAUAACUUUCUACCUUCCCAAGAUCUGCCCGUUGCAUCUGGUGUUAAGCUUCUCACAGAAACAUCUAUUUCUUCUUCUUUCUCUUCACUACCUAUCUCUCUUGUGAUGCCUAAAUGAAACCAUCCAGUUAAAGAUCGCACAGCAAACUGGCAAAGACAGCAUGACUCCAGUCAGCAAAAAUGUCUGUGGCUCCAAUCAGCUUGGGGUGACAUUGCCAACUUGGACUAGCUACAAGCAAACUAUCAAAUGAUAGCAGCAACUAUCAAAGCUAACAACAAGGAUGAGGACCACAGCAGUGAUACACCCUGUUUUCCUGCCAACAUACUCUUAGUCAUCAGAUGUUUGGUACUCAAGCAAAACUCUUUCAAUCCUGUAUCACAUUCUGAAACCUGAGAUCAUCUAGAUGAGUGGCACACAGGAUAUCAUGUUUUAUUCAUCAAAAAGGAUGUUAAAGUCAUCAUACCUUAAAUUAGAAACAGUGCAGCUUAUUGAUACCAAAAACAUGCAAAUAUGCAAUAAUUUUAGCAUGAAGUAUAAAUUAUUUUACAGAUGUAAAAUAGACUGGUAUCUGCUAUCUAAUAAAACACCUGUUGU